rnacentral:rRNA from 1 species
UACGUAGGGGGCAAGCGUUGUCCGGAUUUAUUGGGCGUAAAGAGCGUGUAGGCGGCUAUGCAAGUCGGAUGUGAAAGCCCUCGGCUCAACCGGGGAAGUGCACCCGAAACUGCAAAGCUAGAGUCUCGGAGAGGAUCGUGGAAUUCUCGGUGUAGAGGUGAAAUGCGCAGAUAUCGGGAAGAACACCCGUGGCGAAGGCGGCUCUCUGGGACGGUACUGACGCUGAGACGCGAAAGCGUGGGGAGCGAACAGG